rnacentral:rRNA from 1 species
UGGGGAAUUUUGGACAAUGGGCGCAAGCCUGAUCCAGCCAUGCCGCGUGUCUGAAGAAGGCCUUCGGGUUGUAAAGGACUUUUGUCAGGGAAGAAAAGGACAGGGUUAAUACCCCUGUCUGAUGACGGUACCUGAAGAAUAAGCACCGGCUAACUACGUGCCAGCAGCCGCGGUAAUACGUAGGGUGCGAGCGUUAAUCGGAAUUACUGGGCGUAAAGCGAGCGCAGACGGUUACUUAAGCAGGAUGUGAAAUCCCCGGGCUCAACCUGGGAACUGCGUUCUGAAAUGGGUGACUAGAGUGUGUCAGAGGGAGGUAGAAUUCCACGUGUAGCAGUGAAAUGCGUAGAGAUGUGGAGGAAUACCGAUGGCGAAGGCAGCCUCCUGGGAUAACACUGACGUUCAUGCUCGAAAGCGUGGGUAGCAAACAGG